AUGUGCUAUUGUCUUCUUUACACAGUAAAAUCAAAGUGAAGCCGACCGAUUUGCCAUUUAAGAUUUAUCACAUCUGGAAAGUCUCAUAUUCCUAAAGUGAAGUGUCUGGUCCAUUGAAUAUCACAACUGGAAGUUUUUUUACGCUUUACAAAGAUAGCAAAGUGUUUCUGCCGUCUUGGUUUGCAUCUUGUAAGAGUGCUGGUCACCCUAAAUGAAGGUGUAUCGGGUUAGCUUGACAUUAAAGCACUGGUUGGGGGGAGGGGUCAUUCAUGUUACAGGCACCUGAUAUGGGAUGACAGAUACAUUGAAGAUCAAAUUGUGUCAAGAUUAGGAUGGACACAAAGACAUAAUGAAACUGGUGUAAUAAAUGGAUGUCAAACACUGGUUCUAUAAAAGGAUGUCAAAACACUUGAUAAAGGAUAAGGAUGGUCCAGCUCCUCUAUUCACUACAAUGGUGCAGGCAAUACAACUACAUUAUCUCAUCAGAUGGUUUCAAAUACUUAGCUCACAUUUUUGGACCAUAUAGUGUC
rnacentral:lncRNA from 1 species